AUUGAACGCUGGCGGCAGGCCUAACACAUGCAAGUCGAACGGUAACAGGAAGAAGCUUGCUUCUUUGCUGACGAGUGGCGGACGGGUGAGAAAUGUCUGGGAAACUGCCUGAUGGAGGGGGAUAACUACUGGAAACGGUAGCUAAUACCGCAUAACGUCGCAAGCCCAAAGAGGGGGACCUUCGGGCGUCUUGCCAUCGGAUGUGCCCCGAUGGGAUUAGCUAGUAGGUGGGGUAACGGCUCACCUAGGCGACGAUCCCUAGCUGGUCUGAGAGGAUGACCAGCCACACUGGAACUGAGACACGGUCCAGACUCCUACGGGAGGCAGCAGUGGGGAAUAUUGCACAAUGGGCGCAAGCCUGAUGCAGCCAUGCCGCGUGUAUGAAGAAGGCCUUCGGGUUGUAAAGUACUUUCAGCGGGGAGGAAGGGAGUAAAGUUAAUACCUUUGCUCAUUGACGUUACCCGCAGAAGAAGCACCGGCUAACUCCGUG
rnacentral:rRNA from 1 species